AUUGAACGCUGGCGGCAGGCCUAACACAUGCAAGUCGAGCGGAUGAAGGUAGCUUGCUACCUGAUUCAGCGGCGGACGGGUGAGUAAUGCCUAGGAAUCUGCCUGGUAGUGGGGGACAACGUUUCGAAAGGAACGCUAAUACCGCAUACGUCCUACGGGAGAAAGUGGGGGAUCUUCGGACCUCACGCUAUCAGAUGAGCCUAGGUACGAUUAGCUAGUUGGUGAGGUAAAGGCUCACCAAGGCGACGAUCGUUAACUGGUCUGAGAGGAUGGUCAGUCACACUGGAACUGAGACACGGUCCAGACUCCUACGGGAGGCAGCAGUGGGGAAUAUUGGACAAUGGGCGAAAGCCUGAUCCAGCCAUGCCGCGUGUGUGAAGAAGGUCUUCGGAUUGUAAAGCACUUUAAGUUGGGAGGAAGGGCAGUAAGUUAAUACCUUGCUGUUUUGACGUUACCGACAGAAUAAGCACCGGCUAACUUCGUGCCAGCCGCCGCUGUAAUAC
rnacentral:rRNA from 1 species